GAUGAACGCUGGCGGCGUGCCUAAUACAUGCAAGUCGAGCGAACGGACGAGAAGCUUGCUUCUCUGAUGUUAGCGGCGGACGGGUGAGUAACACGUGGAUAACCUACCUAUAAGACUGGGAUAACUUCGGGAAACCGGAGCUAAUACCGGAUGAUAUUUUGAACCGCAUGGUUCAAAAGUGAAAGACGGUCUUGCUGUCACUUAUAGAUGGAUCCGCGCUGCAUUAGCUAGUUGGUAAGGUAACGGCUUACCAAGGAAACGAUGCAUAGCCGACCUGAGAGGGUGAUCGGCCACACUGGAACUGAGACACGGUCCAGACUCCUACGGGAGGCAGCAGUAGGGAAUCUUCCGCAAUGGGCGAAAGCCUGACGGAGCAACGCCGCGUGAGUGAUGAAGGUCCUCGGAUCGUAAAACUCUGUUAUUAGGGAAGAACAUAUGUGUAAGUAACUGUGCACAUCUUGACGGUACCUAAUCAGAAAGCCACGGCUAACUACGUG
rnacentral:rRNA from 1 species